rnacentral:rRNA from 1 species
UACACACCGCCCGUCACACCAUGGGAGUGUGUUGUACCAGAAGUAGGUAGAAUAACCGCAAGGGGUUCGCUUACCACGGUAUGAUACAUGACUGGGGUG